UACGAAGGGGGCUAGCGUUGUUCGGAAUUACUGGGCGUAAAGCGUGCGCAGGCGGCUUUGCAAGACAGAUGUGAAAUCCCCGGGCUUAACCUGGGAACUGCAUUUGUGACUGCAUGGCUGGAGUGCGGCAGAGGGGGAUGGAAUUCCGCGUGUAGCAGUGAAAUGCGUAGAUAUGCGGAGGAACACCGAUGGCGAAGGCAGUCCCCUGGGCCUGCACUGACGCUCAUGCACGAAAGCGUGGGGAGCAAACAGG
rnacentral:rRNA from 1 species